AGCUAAGAUCACGUGUGCACAGAUGAACUGCAAAUGACAAUCAAUUAGGAAGUUUGGACAUUUGCGGCAAGCUGUUAGCCAUCGUGGCCCGAAGCACCAGAGACUGUCAUUGAGCUCCUCAAAUCACUAGCUGAUGAGGGAAGCAGGGGUACAUGGAUGCUAGGAUGGAGGCAACAAAGAAUUGUUCUCAGUUGGAAGCUUUCCCUUGAGUCUCGGACAGAUGCUUACUGAAGUACGAC